UGAACAGUCAUCAUAGUAUUUCAGUAAAUAAUACAUUGUGAGGUAAUCAGCACUAUAAAAAAAUAACAUAGAAAAGAAUAAGAAGAUUGAGAACACAGCAGGGAGGUACAUAUAACCUCUGGGGGAAGAAUCUGUGCCUUGUUUUAGAUGUUUUCUCAUUAUGUUGGUAUAAGCUGAACAUUUAUUGCUGCUACUCUUCAUGCCCACUCAGGAGUAUCCUAAAAGAAAGUGGUGAGAGGAAAUCUUCCAGUGUGCAGAGCUGUGGUGGAACACCUGCUUGCCCACUUUGUGUGAAGAAGAAAGUAGCCUAAAGUAAGCAUUUACAAGGAUUUAUGAACAGUGACAAAGGGUUUACCUCAGUAGUCUGGACCAAGAAAGAACUAGAUUGAAAGGUUAGCCACAAAGAAGUCUGAGAAAGAGGGAUAUGAAUGGAGGUAUGCACAAAGUGUGAGGAUCCAUGUAUGAUAAGAUUAAGGUUCACCAGAGAGCAUCCACUGCAGAAAAACAUUAAACAACUAGGUUGACAGGAUGAUUCAUCCAAUGGACAUAAACCAGUCUCUAUCCUCAGCCUCUUCAAUGUGUACAUAAUGGGGCCAUGAAUGAAGUAGCCCAAGAUUUGACUGUAGAGCCUUGCAUUCCUGGAGUAAAUCUCAGUUGAUUGAGAGAUAACUGUCUAUGUUUUUUUUUUUUUUAAUUUUAAUGUCUACCUGGUUUGUUAUUAAGGUUUUGCCGACCUCUUGGAUAAGUUAAUAAGACUUUAUUCUGCUGAAGAAGUGUGGAGAAUUUGUAUCAUUAUUCUUUAAAGGCUUAGUGGAAUAUACCUUUAAAACAAUCUGAAAAACUAUCUAGGUCUGAUAUUUUCAGCUUAUUAAUUAUCUAUUCAAUUAAAAAUAUAUAUAGGUCUAUUAAGAAUGCCUAUUUAUUCUUGCAUGAGAUGUGGUAGUUUGUGUCUUUCAAGAAAUUGGUCAAAUUCAUCCAACUUAUGAAACUUGUAGUCAUUCAGUUGUUCAUAGGAUUGUUGUAUUAUCCUUUCAAUGUUCACGGGAUUGUAGUGAUGACUUUCCUUCAUUUCACACAUUGGUAAUUUGUGUCUUCUCUCU
rnacentral:lncRNA from 1 species